rnacentral:rRNA from 1 species
AGCGAACGCUGGCGGCAUGCCUAACACAUGCAAGUCGCACGGGGGGGCUUCGGCCUCCCAGUGGCGGACGGGUGAGGAACGCGUAGGGACCUGUCGAGGGGUGGGGGAUAACCGCGGGAAACUGCGGCUAAUACCGCAUGACGCCGCGGCGUGACAGCCGGGGCCAAAGGCGAAAGCCGCCCGCCGAGGGGCCUGCGUCCGAUUAGCUGGUUGGCGGGGUAGCGGCGCACCAAGGCGUCGAUCGGUAGCUGGUCUGAGAGGGUGAUCAGCCACACCGGGACUGAGACACGGCCCGGACUCCUACGGGAGGCAGCAGUGGGGAAUAUUGGACAAUGGGCGCAAGCCUGAUCCAGCAAUGCCGCGUGGGUGAAGAAGGUCUUCGGAUUGUAAAGCCCUUUCGGCGGGGACGAUGGUGACGGUACCCGCAGAAGAAGCCCCGGCUAACUUCGUG